UACGUAGGGUGCGAGCGUUAAUCGGAAUUACUGGGCGUAAAGCGUGCGCAGGCGGUUGUGCAAGACAGAUGUGAAAUCCCCGGGCUUAACCUGGGAACUGCAUUUGUGACUGCACAGCUGGAGUGCGACAGAGGGGGAUGGAAUUCCGCGUGUAGCAGUGAAAUGCGUAGAGAUCCGGAGGAACACCAAAGGCGCAGGCAGGGUCCUGGCAAGCCACUGACGCUCAUGGACGAAAGCUAGGGGAGCGAACGGG
rnacentral:rRNA from 1 species